CAGCAGCCGCGGUAAUACGAAGGGUGCAAGCGUUAAUCGGAAUUACUGGGCGUAAAGCGUGCGUAGGUGGUGGUUUAAGUCCGUUGUGAAAGCCCUGGGCUCAACCUGGGAAUUGCAGUGGAUACUGGGUCACUAGAGUGUGGUAGAGGAUAGUGGAAUUUCCGGUGUAGCAGUGAAACGCGUAGAGAUCGGAAGGAACAUCUGUGGCGAAGGCGACUAUCUGGGCCAACACUGACACUGAGGCACGAAAGCGUGGGGAGCAAACAGGAUUAGAUACCCCCGUAGUCCCUGUCUCUUAUAC
rnacentral:rRNA from 1 species